UCGGAUGGAAGGUUGACUAAAAAACGUCACCUCCUGUGACAACGUCGACAUUUGCACAUCCUGUGCU
rnacentral:sRNA from 1 species